AUGGUAUGUUUGUUAUCCAAAACCUGCAAAAGCUAAUGCUCAAAUUCAAGUAUUUCACAGUUUAAAGAAUUAUUUAAUGAAAUUAGAAAAAAACUAGCUAAUUAGCAAUAGUAUUGCUGGCUUAUAAUUAUUUCAAAGACCAUGGGAAAUGGCAGAUGACCGGUGACUUAACACCGUGAAGCAUUGAGUGUACAAUGUCAUUACCCAAAUUCUAUGGACAAUUGUGUUGCCCCGUGGAUAAGUCGACCCUGUUUUUUUGAAUGAAUUUUAAGACAUAAAUUUUUCGACUUAUACGCGAGUAUAAACGGUAAUAACCCCUUGCGAAAAUUAAAAAAUGAUGCUUUAAUGACCACAGAGAGUCACCACCUUGAUUUUACGUCUCAUUGGAAGGAUAUCACCAUUUUUACAGCACAGGGUCCCCGUCACUGCACUGGGGCAUUGAUAUCCACAUUCAGACUACUGGGUAUGUGCCCCCUGUUGGCCUCACCAACACUUCUUCCAGUAGCAACCCAAGCUUUUCCUGAUUGGACUCGAUGAAUCUCAUCAUAAAGAACGUCAAUUCAAACACCCACCUUGAGCCAAACAAAGUGACCAGUUUCAAAAAUAACCGACCUAUCCUUCUCUAGGGGAGAAAAACAGAAAACAUUGUAGCGAUGCGGUUUUAACCAAGUGCCUGAAGACAAGUUAAAUUGUAGUCAGCAUCCAUUCAAACUGGAGAGAGAGAGGUGUUAGGAGCAGGCGCUGAUACAGCACAUUGCUGCACCCACCACAUGACAAACCAACUCAGGAACCCAGUGCAGCCAUGUGGCGGGUGACACCUCAGCACCACACUAGUGCAGAUGGAAAUGGAACCAGUGUGAGGUUUUUUUUAUGGUGGCUGGAGUGCCAACCCCCAGGUUUUGAUGCAGAUUAAUGUCAUACCCAGGACGGAGCAAUUGCAGGUUAGGGGCCCAACGAAGUGGAGUGGCGUUUCCGGGAUUUGAACCGGCAAAUCCCUAGCCUCAGAGCCACCAAUUCUCCGCCAUUCAAACUGGGGUAUUAAACAAAACUGAAGAUGGAAUUGUGCGUGAAGGAGAGUAUUGGAUAGCAGCAGCAUUGCGCCAAAGAGUCAUUGAAAGGUGAAAUAUGAAAUUUUUGGGAGCAGGCAGUCAGGGAAAAGCUUUGUUACAUUUCUACUUGCAAUAAAAAUAUGGCAAACUGAAAUUCAUGAGACUUUCAUAGUCGGCCAGCCGUGGCAGGGUUGCUCUCGACGGAUGAGUUGGGGUGCCCCCUGCUGGAUGAUUUACUCUAAUAAACUCCUCCAGUACAAAGAAUCAGAGUUUAGAUUGUUAACUUCUUUGGAGCUCCUCAAACAGAAAUAAACCCCUUUAAAGAAUCGGAACUUACAAGAAAAAAAUUCACACGUCGUGCUAGCUGUUCGGCUUGCCAGUUUAGAAAAGGGGGUCAGACUGGGAAAGUGGGGAUUAUUAAGGGGCUGGAAAGUCUCCACCUGUCCACGACUGAAAGUGGAGCAAGUCGGAUGCGGAUUAAUAGAACGCAAAUCAAAACGAUCAUUUCCGUGGCUACGUGUAAAGCCCAUCGCAUGGCUCCGUCAAAUCACUUUUAUUCAUUUCGGAAAGAAAGACCGCCUGUGCACUUUCAUUUCGUUAUAUAACUUUGAAUUGCUCUUAAUAUUAAAUCAGGGUGUCCUGCAUUGUCUCCUGCAUUCCGGACUAACCCCUUUAACAGGUCGUUGCCCUCAUUAGGUCCCAAACUAGAUGUGAUCCCAUUUGAGGGGAAUCACGU